rnacentral:sRNA from 1 species
AGGCAGGCGCGCAACCGCAGGGCGGACCGGGGCUCCGAGGCCUAGAGUCAGGCCUGGCGUCCCUGCGGCGGGAACAAGGAUCAAUCCACCGACUGGAGUGGCGGGGAGCAUCACGCCGCGCUGCAUGGGGCUCGUGGGGAGAGGAAAAUGUAUGGGGCUGGGGUCGCUCUGGAGGCCGGGGACUCGGACUCGGGUAGCCGCGGAGGCCUUUCUCACCAUCGCGCCAAACUCUUCGCUGCAGGAGCUGCCGACACCGCCGCCGUUACACGAGCUUAGCCACAACGCCGCUAACAGCCAAUCCUCGCGAGAGGAGCCGCCGGAAGUCGUCGAAAGUGCAACGCAAAAGAGCCUUUUGGAUCAUAGAGGCACAGUCACUUCCGGCAGCUAGAGCAGCUACUGACUCUGUUUCAGCCAUCUUCGAUAAAGGCAAAAGGAACGACUGAAGCUGGUGACUGUUUUGGGUGCUGGCCUUCUCUGUGGAACUGCUCUGGCGGUCAUCGUGCCUGAAGGAGUACAUGCCCUUUAUGAAGAUAUUCUUGAGGGUUUUGAGAAUAAUAGGCAGUCAGAAGGUCUGCAUGCCAAAGGCAGAAGACAUUUGGGGAUUUUUUCAUCAUGAACUUUAAGUUGAAGGAGUUAAUGAUUGGCUGGAUUACAAUAUAAAAAGUGGAUGUCUUUACAGUAAAGAAAACACCACCAAGCGAGUGAAACACAUGAUGUGAUUGCAUCAGACAAAGCAGCAGAAAAAUCAGUUGUCCAUGAACAUGAGCACAGCCACGACCACACACAGCUGCAUGCCUAUAUUGGUGUUUCCCUCGUACUGGGCUUCGUUUUCAUGUUGCUGGUGGACCAGAUUGGUAACUCCCAUGUGCAUUCUACUGACGAUCCAGAAGCAGCAAGGUCCAGCAAUUCCAAAAUCACCACCACGCUGGGUCUGGUCGUCC